AUUGAACGCUGGCGGCAUGCUUUACACAUGCAAGUCGAACGGCAGCGCGGGCUUCGGCCUGGCGGCGAGUGGCGAACGGGUGAGUAAUGCAUCGGAACGUGCCCAGUAGUGGGGGAUAGCCCGGCGAAAGCCGGAUUAAUACCGCAUACGACCUGAGGGUGAAAGCGGGGGACCGAAAGGCCUCGCGCUAUUGGAGCGGCCGAUGUCGGAUUAGCUAGUUGGUGGGGGAAAGGCUUACCAAGGCGACGAUCCGUAGCUGGUCUGAGAGGACGACCAGCCACACUGGGACUGAGACACGGCCCAGACUCCUACGGGAGGCAGCAGUGGGGAAUUUUGGACAAUGGGGGCAACCCUGAUCCAGCCAUGCCGCGUGCGGGAAGAAGGCCUUCGGGUUGUAAACCGCUUUUGUUCGGGAAGAAAUCCUCUGGGCUAAUACCCCGGGGGGAUGACGGUACCGGAAGAAUAAGCACCGGCUAACUACGUG
rnacentral:rRNA from 1 species